UACGUAGGGGGCAAGCGUUGUCCGGAAUCACUGGGCGUAAAGCGUGCAUAGGCUGUUUGGCAAGUUGGAAGUGAAAGCCCAGGGCUCAACCCUGGAAUUGCUUUCAAAACUGCCAGACUCGAAUCCGGGAGAGGAUAGCGGAAUUUCCAGUGUAGUAGUGAAAUACGUAGAUAUUGGAAGGAACACCAGUGGCGUAAGCGGCUAUCUGGACCGGCAUUGACGCUGAGGCACGAAAGCGUGGGGAUCAAACAGG
rnacentral:rRNA from 1 species